rnacentral:rRNA from 1 species
UACAGAGGUCUCAAGCGUUGUUCGGAUUCAUUGGGCGUAAAGGGCGCGUAGGCGGCCUGCUAAGUCGAACGUGAAAUCCCCGAGCUCAACUCGGGAACUGCGUCCGAUACUGACAGGCUUGAAUCCGGGAGAGGGAUGCGGAAUUCCAGGUGUAGCGGUGAAAUGCGUAGAUAUCUGGAGGAACACCGGUGGCGAAGGCGGCAUCCUGGACCGGCAUUGACGCUGAGGCGCGAAAGCUAGGGGGAGCAAACGGG